CCUGGGAGUGCAGGACAGCAUGGGACAGGCGGCGUGGCUUAGCAGCGAGCCCAGGCCCUCCGGAGGAGCAGAGAAUGGAAGGAAACCAAGUUCUGUCCUGCGAGUCCUCGCCCUGUGCGGGAAGAAGAUGUGGGACAAGACAAGCACUUGAUCCUCAUUGGGACCUGGGACCCUCCCCGGCUGUGCUCUCGGGUAAGGGGGUCAUUUGGGAUUGUCCAGUAUUUCUGUGCCUUGGGACUGGAAAUCAAGACUUUGGAGUUUUCCUCUAGUCUUUCCCAUAGACUUACUGAACAGCCAGGUUUCAGAGACAUGCUGGAGCCCCCUGGUGGUGGCUUCUGGGCACGGGAAUAGCCAUAACUACAGGGUGAAUGGAACCUGUGAAGUUCAAAGUACUUUGUCACUAUGUUAUCUUGUUAUCACUGCAAGGAGGGUUAGGGAUCUACCUGGCAUCUUGUGGACUGACAUAUGAGGGAGGAUAAUGACUGACAUAUGAGGGAGGAUAAUGACAUGUUCUAACCUUCCAGGGUGUGGUGGGAAUGAUGGGAAAAGGCCUUUGGUGCCAAUGGGAUGGCUUAGCCUGGAGUGCUCCCCAGGGACAAAAAGCAAGGUUGCUGUACAUAAUGACAACCUUUGACUGGAUCAGAAUGAGACCCAGGUGAGCCAGGUCUCCUGGUGAUUUUAAUCUACUUUCAAGGUUUAGCUGCUUUCAAGGUUUAGCUGCUCUGAGCUCAGUGAAUUUCAAGUAGUCCAAUAGUCAGUUUGGCAAACACAUUAAUUUACUUAGAGACUUAACAAAUUAAGCCAGUAAAUACUUACCAUACACUAGGUGUUAAGUGCUGUGGCAAGUGCUGU
rnacentral:lncRNA from 1 species